UGAAUGCAGAUAAUUAAUAUUUUGCAGCACAUAGAUAAUGCUCCAUCUACUUAUCGGAUUGUACGCAGUGUUUUUCAGUCAUGCUUGAUUUUCAACCAGCUACCUGAGAGGAAAAGACUCGAGGAGCCAGCUUGUGAUGUCGGUUUCGAAUCUAUGUGUGCAUUGGUGUGCAGAUCAUUCACAUUAGCAUGUACUCCACUCCAUGUCAAUUCCCUGCUACUCUUUGUUUAUUAUUGUUUGUCCUUUUAUUGCUUGAGCAGAUUAACACCAACCUACGAACUUUCAUCAGAGCUAAGUAGCAGCACACUGGAAAUACUUCCACAACACUAUGCUUUAUAUUCAAUUUAACUCGAUGGAGUUGAUAUUCCAUGGGUGAUAUUAA